AUUGAACGCUGGCGGCAGGCCUAACACAUGCAAGUCGAACGAGUGGCGGACGGGUGAGUAAUGUAUGGGAAUCUGCCCGAUAGAGGGGGAUAACUACUGGAAACGGUAGCUAAUACCGCAUACUAUCGGAUGUGCCCAUAUGGGAUUAGCUAGUAGGUGGGGUAAAGGCUCACCUAGGCGACGAUCCCUAGCUGGUCUGAGAGGAUGACCAGCCACACUGGAACUGAGACACGGUCCAGACUCCUACGGGAGGCAGCAGUGGGGAAUAUUGCACAAUGGGCGCAAGCCUGAUGCAGCCAUGCCGCGUGUAUGAAGAAGGCCUUAGGGUUGUAAAGUACUUUCAGCGAGGAGGCGUUACUCGCAGAAGAAGCACCGGCUAACUCCGUGCCAGCCGCCGCGGUAAUAC
rnacentral:rRNA from 1 species